UCUUCAAUAGUCCACCAGUUAUCAUGAAGCAGGCUUGCGUCGUACCUGGUUGCACAUCGAAUACACGGACCCCAUCGCACCACUUUCCUAAAGAUCCUACUCGACGCUUAUUAGAAGAGGAUUAUAUAUAUUCAAUCCAUCGAAGAAAAUUGAAAGCUAUGAAAAUGAUGCCAUACCUCAUCAUAAUAUACCUC